rnacentral:rRNA from 1 species
AGCGCAUACGGUGGAUGCCUUGGCAGUCAGAGGCGAUGAAAGACGUGGUAGCCUGCGAAAAGCUUCGGGGAGUCGGCAAACAGACUUUGAUCCGGAGAUCUCUGAAUGGGGGAACCCACCUAGGAUAACCUAGGUAUCUUGUACUGAAUCCAUAGGUGCAAGAGGCGAACCAGGGGAACUGAAACAUCUAAGUACCCUGAGGAAAAGAAAUCAACCGAGAUUCCCUUAGUAGUGGCGAGCGAACGGGGAUUAGCCCUUAAGCUUCAUUGAUUUUAGCGGAACGCUCUGGAAAGUGCGGCCAUAGUGGGUGAUAGCCCCGUACGCGAAAGGAUCUUUGAAGUGAAAUCGAGUAGGACGGAGCACGAGAAACUUUGUCUGAACAUGGGGGGACCAUCCUCCAAGGCUAAAUACUACUGACUGACCGAUAGUGAACCAGUACCGUGAGGGAAAGGCGAAAAGAACCCCGGAGAGGGGAGUGAAAUAGAACCUGAAACCGUAUGCGUACAAGCAGUGGGAGCCUACUUGUUAGGUGACUGCGUACCUUUUGUAUAAUGGGUCAGCGACUUAUAUUCAGUGGCAAGCUUAACCGUAUAGGGUAGGCGUAGCGAAAGCGAGUCUUAAUAGGGCGUUUAGUCGCUGGGUAUAGACCCGAAACCGGGCGAUCUAUCCAUGAGCAGGUUGAAGGUUAGGUAACACUGACUGGAGGACCGAACCCACUCCCGUUGAAAAGGUAGGGGAUGACUUGUGGAUCGGAGUGAAAGGCUAAUCAAGCUCGGAGAUAGCUGGUUCUCCUCGAAAGCUAUUUAGGUAGCGCCUCAUGUAUCACUCUGGGGGGUAGAGCACUGUUUCGGCUAGGGGGUCAUCCCGACUUACCAAACCGAUGCAAACUCCGAAUACCCAGAAGUGCCGAGCAUGGGAGACACACGGCGGGUGCUAACGUCCGUCGUGAAAAGGGAAACAACCCAGACCGCCAGCUAAGGUCCCAAAGUUGUGGUUAAGUGGUAAACGAUGUGGGAAGGCUUAGACAGCUAGGAGGUUGGCUUAGAAGCAGCCACCCUUUAAAGAAAGCGUAAUAGCUCACUAGUCGAGUCGGCCUGCGCGGAAGAUGUAACGGGGCUCAAACCACACACCGAAGCUGCGGGUGUCACGCAAGUGACGCGGUAGAGGAGCGUUCUGUAAGCCUGUGAAGGUGAGUUGAGAAGCUUGCUGGAGGUAUCAGAAGUGCGAAUGCUGACAUGAGUAACGACAAUGGGUGUGAAAAACACCCACGCCGAAAGACCAAGGGUUCCUGCGCAACGUUAAUCGACGCAGGGUUAGUCGGUUCCUAAGGCGAGGCUGAAAAGCGUAGUCGAUGGGAAACAGGUUAAUAUUCCUGUACUUCUGGUUACUGCGAUGGAGGGACGGAGAAGGCUAGGCCAGCUUGGCGUUGGUUGUCCAAGUUUAAGGUGGUAGGCUGAAAUCUUAGGUAAAUCCGGGGUUUCAAGGCCGAGAGCUGAUGACGAGUCGUCUUUUAGAUGACGAAGUGGUUGAUGCCAUGCUUCCAAGAAAAGCUUCUAAGCUUCAGGUAACCAGGAACCGUACCCCAAACCGACACAGGUGGUCGGGUAGAGAAUACCAAGGCGCUUGAGAGAACUCGGGUGAAGGAACUAGGCAAAAUGGCACCGUAACUUCGGGAGAAGGUGCGCCGGCUAGGGUGAAGGAUUUACUCCGUAAGCCCUGGCUGGUCGAAGAUACCAGGCCGCUGCGACUGUUUAUUAAAAACACAGCACUCUGCAAACACGAAAGUGGACGUAUAGGGUGUGACGCCUGCCCGGUGCCGGAAGGUUAAUUGAUGGGGUUAGCGCAAGCGAAGCUCUUGAUCGAAGCCCCGGUAAACGGCGGCCGUAACUAUAACGGUCCUAAGGUAGCGAAAUUCCUUGUCGGGUAAGUUCCGACCUGCACGAAUGGCGUAACGAUGGCGGCGCUGUCUCCACCCGAGACUCAGUGAAAUUGAAAUCGCUGUGAAGAUGCAGUGUAUCCGCGGCUAGACGGAAAGACCCCGUGAACCUUUACUGUAGCUUUGCACUGGACUUUGAGCCUGCUUGUGUAGGAUAGGUGGGAGGCUUUGAAGCGUGGACGCCAGUUCGCGUGGAGCCAUCCUUGAAAUACCACCCUGGCAUGCUUGAGGUUCUAACUCUGGUCCGUGAUCCGGAUCGAGGACAGUGUAUGGUGGGCAGUUUGACUGGGGCGGUCUCCUCCUAAAGAGUAACGGAGGAGUACGAAGGUGCGCUCAGACCGGUCGGAAAUCGGUCG